UGGGGUGUAGCGCAGCGGUAGAGUGCUUGCCUGGCAUGUAUGAGGUCCUAGGUUCAAUCCCAGCACCGCAA
rnacentral:tRNA from 1 species